GGAUCCCAAACAGCCGUGGGUGCCUCGCCGAACAGCAGACUCUGUGCCGAGGGCUUGCAUGCGUCCCUUCAGGAACCUUGUGUAAAACCCCACGAGGAAGUGUGGUGAUUUUCUCCCGUUUCAUGGAGGAGGAAACCCAAGCUCUGAGGAGUAAAAAUCAUCCACUCAAGGUUACACAAGGGCCAGGAGCCAGAACUUGGAUCCAGAUCAGUCUAUGCCAGGUCCAAACCCUACAGUCCAGUGACUUGAUCCACAUAAUGUUGCGGAAACGACACAGAAGGGAGAGAUCCGGUUUUCGACCACACUUAAUAUUGAUAACUGGCUUGGGAGGAAGGUUAUCAUUUCCUUCACUCUAUAGAUGAAGGUACGAGUUCAGAGAGGCCAGGCAAGUUCCCCAAGGACACACAGCUGAUAGGCAGGUUUCUGCCCCCACAACCAGAGGUUUUACCCACUGUGGCAUCCUCUCCAGUGCUUUGGGGGAUGGUCAAACAAAUGAGAAGUGUGUCCAGCAGUCUUCUGGGCCGGCUGCCAUCCCUUCUUCUCCAGGGGAGAUGCCCACGCCCGGAGCACCACAAGGAUGGAAUGAUGCAGGCCAUGAGGAAGAAGGAUGAAGUCAGGGGAGCACUGGCGUGCCAGUGACCCUUUGCCAGGAGCUGGAUCUCAUGUGCCACCUCAGCAUCUGGGACGUGUGUGUCUGUUUAAGCAAAGCACAUUCAAGUGGUCCAGACUUUGGGGGACCAUUCCGGAGGGGGGUGUCACACUCAGCUGGGCCAAGGGGAAGGAGGCCCACUCUUCCUUUUCGGGUCCUUUCCUCAAUCCCCGCCCAUCUCACAGCCUUUUCCUCCUCAGAAAAGCUGGGGAGCACGGUGCUGGUGUUGUCAUAGCUGUUACAUGACCACCGUCCAGGCAGGGAGACCCAGAGCACUCGGCGGGUUGGGGGCUCCGGUGGUGGCCUGAGAUUUCUCUCCUGGAGGUCAGCUGAGCCAUCGUCCCUCGCCGCCCGCCAUCCCGACCCUCUCCCCUCCCUCUGGGGCGGUAGGCUCCACUCUGGGAGAAGUGCAGCCUCUGUUCUCUGCGUACCGAUGAAAACAAGGAGCUCAGAGGAGAAAAGUGACUCACCCGGGAGCACCCAGCUGCCAAGGGGCAGAGCCUGCCUGGGACCGGGGUCUUUUGCCACAACCCCCGGCCCUUCUCCCUGCACCCAGUAGCUUGUUGGUAUGGAUACUAAAGAUUCUCUUUCUGGAAACAACGGAUUUCUACCCCCCAGCCCACCCCCAAGCACAGCCCCACCUGUCGGGAAAUCCCAGGGCCAGCAGUGGAAUGGGAGCAUUUGGGACAGUGGGUGAGAAAGCCCCCCCCCCCCCGCUACUGCUGUCCUCCCACGUAUGGCUAUAGGGGGCCAGGUGGGCAGGGUAAUGAGGACACUCUGAACCCCCAAGACCGUCACAACGUCCCGUGUUCAGCCUACUCAGGACUCUAUACUCUUGCUGUGGGAUCUUGGGCCAGUCACCUGCCAUCUCUGAGCUCAUUUUCCCUCUCUGCACAGUGGACAGGUGGUUGGCGAGAGUCACAGGCCUCCAGCACUGACCAUGUUGGAUUCUGAGCGCAAAGAGUCUGACGGAGAGAUGCCCUCUUCCCAUGGGAAUCUCCGGUGAUAUCUUUUCUCAGUCCUGGCCCCUGCUCCUUGAGGAGGACCUGAGGCUCUGGCCCUGUCUGCCCUCACAGGGCCGCCAGUCACGGCCUCCCCACAGUACACGAGCUGGAUUCCCUCUGAGAUGGGUCAAGGGGUGCAGGUCACUGAAGACCGUCUCCCCAAGCCUUACACUUGCAUUUGGUCUGGGCUGCAUGUGUUGGAGUCCAACAGUCCAGUUCAAGCCACGCCUCUGUCAUUUAGUAGCCGCGUGUCCUUGGGCAUGUUAUUGAGCCUCCCCGUGCCUCAGUUUCCCCAUGUGUGAAAUGGUGAUAUUAAACUUCUACCUCAUAGGGGCGUUGUGGGGUGAAGCAGGCCAACGUAUGGCAAGGACGUGGUGAGCACAUGGCCUGCACCUCAUAUUACUACUACAAUCCUCAUCACAGUCUUAACCCUCGGCCUCCAGCCCCCCCGAGGAUCCAUCAGUCAAAGCCAUAACACCCUCUUCCCUCUUCCUGCCUCUGCCUCCAGAUCAGUGAAUGACUUUAGACCAGCCCCUUCCCCUCUGUGGGCCUCGGUGACCCUGCCUACAAAAUGACCCUUGAACCUGAGGAGGGCAGGACCACCGUCUCUCUCCAGGGGUCUCCCCGGGGGGGGGGGGCACAGGACGCAGCACAGGGUCUGGCGCUCGGGGGACCACACAGGUGGGUAUCCAGCAUGCUCAGCACCGUGCUGCUUCUGCCAACUCUUACGUCGCCAGGAUCCCAAGGAAGAACACGCGCCUCUUUCUCCCACAGGCAUGGAACCUGGCUAAAGAGCGGAUUAGGUUGUUAAUAUCUGGAGCAUUCCUUUCUGAACUGCCGCCGGCUGUUUUCAGAGCCUUACCACCCGUGCCCACACCUCCUUCUGGCCCAGGGGUCUCCCUGAAGCUUGAAGGACAGCCCCGCCCCGUCCAAGGUUCAAGAUGGAGCUGGAACACUGGUCCGGAGGGGGAACCUGACACAGACCACAGCCACCUUGGGGUUCCUGCUCCACUGGCUUUCCUGUGGUUUCCGCUGGUUCCUGCCUUUCUCCCUGGCUCCUGCCAGCUGGCCGGCCCCGCCCACUGGUGCAGGGGAAGGUUUGGCUCCGGAAUAGGCUAUCUGUUGGCCCCCAGAAAGACAGUGGAGGGUGCCCCAGAAUGCAAGCACCUCUGGUCUAAACCCCAGCCUCCCACUGUACAGCUGGGCACGGAGAGGCCAGGGCAGGUGCCCAGGCCAGCGGGACGAGCCAGCGGGAGAGCUAGAACAAGAGCCCCAGGCCUCAAAGAGCACUUAGCUGGUCCCCUGCUCCCAACCAAUCCACAGCCCGCGCAGGAGCAGAGCUAGGUGAGAGCCGAGCCUUGGGGAGGUCACCUGCCAGGAAAGAGCUCCAGGCCCCUUGUCAACAAGGAGAAAGCCAGCUUCCUGCUGCUCCCCAGACUUGGUUCUAGAUGGCGGAGAGGAGAAUAGACAGAAAGACAGGAAGAGCUUGUGAGGAUGCUCAGCAGGUCCCUUGAGGUCCUCCGAAGUAUCCAGAGGCCUGCAAGCCAGGGAGGCAGAGGGCACAGCCGCCUUUGCCCUGGAGAGAUACUCAACGCUGUGCCCAGGUGUCAUCGAGACCUUCCUUCACACAACCCUCUGUCCCCAGAGCACGUUCAAACCUGGACACCCUGGACAAACCUGGACAUCCUUUGACCUUCACCAGAGCCUGUUACGAGUUGCCUUUUACAGGUGAGGAAACUGAGACUCAUAGCGGUUGGGCAAUGUGACAUGGAUGGGAAGGGUUCCCACUGGGUCCCCUCCUUGGCUCAGCUGCCAAAUCACUAGGAACCUUUUGCAAGCCUCUUCCGGCUCUGGGCCUCGGUUUCCCCAUGUGUAAAACGAGGCCGCUGUACCGAUGGCCUCUGAGGACCCUCCAAGCAGUCAGGUGUCCCGGCACGGGGCAGCCCCGGGCUCCAGCCUGCCAGUGUAUUGCCACCCCUCUUGCAGUUGAACAAGCACUUAUAUGCCCGGUAGCUUGUUGCAUUUUCUCAGGCGUGGGCAUCAUCAGCCCCAUCUUAUGCACGAGGCAAGCAGAGUCAAGCAGGGACAUGAAGUGACUCGCCCAAGGCCCCACACCGUGUUGGUGGUUGGGCUGCACUGUGAAGCUAGGAGAUCUUACCAGACUUUCCACCUCGAUUCCCUAGAGCUGUGCCCUCCAGCCUGGUAGUCACCGAUACAUGUGGCAUGCUGACCUCCACAUCCUAACCCCCGAAAGGGUGCCUACGCUGCCUUCCAUGGCAAAGGGACUUUGCAAAUGUGAUUAAGGAUCUCGGGACAGGGAGGUUAUGGAUUAUCUGGGUGGACCCAAUAUGAUCACAAGAAUCCUCAUAGGUGGGAGUCCAGGGGAUCAGAGUCAGGGAAGGCAAAGCGACAGACAGCCAAAGCAGGGGGGAGAAGAUGUGCCCAUGGAAGCAAGGGUUGUGAUGAUGCCCUUUGGAGGCGGAGGAAGGGA